GAUGACGACGCCAUCAAGAAGCUGGACGAGAUGAAGAAGAGAUUGAAGGAGAUGGAGGAGGAAGCAGCUGCUCUUCGCGAAAUGCAAGCCAAGGUAGAAAAGGAAAUGGGCGCCGUUCAAGAUCCUGCUGGUUCGGCUGUAAGUCAAGAAAGCAAAGAAGAGGCAGAUUCGCGAUCUGUAUUUGUUGGCAACGUGAGAUGAGAUCUAUGGUCUUGAUAUAAGCACGUUAUUCUUCGUGUAGUUGGUCAAAUGCUAUUUCACAAGCAUGCUGAUCUUGAUAAUAUUUCUUUUGCAACCUGACAAAUUUAGUUUACACUACUUGCUAAGUUGUUUG